rnacentral:lncRNA from 1 species
CCUAUAGAAGAAGGAUGCCAGGGUUAAGGAGAAAGACAAAAGGACAUUGCUGCCUACAGAGCUAAGGGAAAACCCACUGAAGUGAAAAAGGGGGUAAUCAAGGCUGAAAAGAGCAAAGAAAAGAUGGAAAAAGUAGACAGGAAAGAGGAUGAGGAGGAUGAGGAAGAAGCAGAAGAUAAUAAUGAAGAAGAUCAUCAUAAAUAA